AUGGCGGCGCACGUGCUGGCCUUCCCGUGGCCGCUGCAAGGCCACAUCAACCCCAUGCUCCACCUCGCCUCCGCCCUCCUCGACGCCGGCCUCCGCGUCACCUUCCUCCACACCGAGCACAACCUCCGCCGCUUCACCCGAGUGCCGCCUCAUCACCCACGCCUCCGCCUGGCGUCCAUCCCCGACGGCCUCCCCGACCACCAUCCCCGCUCCGUGGGCGGCCUCAUGGAGCUCGUGGAGUCCAUGCGCACGGCGGGCAGCGCAGCGUACCGCGCCCUGCUGCUGCGGAUGAUGGACUCGGACGACGACGACGCGGUGACGUGCGUCAUCACCGACGGCGUGAUGCCGUUCGCCGUCAGCGUCGCCGAGGAGCUCGGCGUCCCAGCGCUCGCGUUCCGCACGGAGAGCGCGUGCGGUUUCCUCGCGUAUCUGUCCGUGCCCAGGCUCCUGGAGCUCGGCGAGAAGCCCGUCCCUUCCGACGAGCUGGUGCGCGGCGUCCCCGGGAUGGAGGGGUUCCUACGGCGCCGAGACCUUCCGCGUGUAGUGCCACUGCCACUGCCACCUGGACCUGGAAAUGGCGACCCCGUUCCCGUGCUGCUGACCAUCGCCGAUACCGCCGCUCGCUGCGGCGAGUCACGGGCGCUGAUACUCAACACCGCCGCGUCCAUGGAGGGGCCGGCGCUCUCGCGGAUUGCGCCGCACGUGCGCGACGUCUUUGCCGUCGGCCCCCUCCACGCCAGGCCAGCCGCCAGACACGCCGCAGAACACGUGAGCAGGAGCAGCGACGACAUGAGCUUGUCGGCGUGGCUGGACGGCCACGAGGACCGGUCGGUGGUGUACGUGAACCUAGGGAGCCUCACUAUCGUCUCGAGCGAGCAGCUGGCCGAGUUCCUCCACGGCCUCGUGGCCGCCGGCUACGCCUUCCUGGCCGUGUUCCGGCAGGACAUGCUCCACCAAAUGGCUGCCGCUGCCGCUAGCGCUAGCAAGGCCUCCGUGGCCCUCCGGGAAGCGGUGGAGGCGGUGGCAGGAGCCGGCAGCGAGAGGGCGCUGGUGGUGGAGUGGGCGCUGCAGCGGGACGCGCACCACGUGCUGCGGCACCGCGCGGUGGGGUGCUUCCUGACGCACGGCGGGUGGAACUCGACGCUGGAGGCCGCCGUGGAGGGCGUGCCGGCGGUGUGCUGGCCCUUCUUCGCCGACCAGCAGACCAACAGCCGCUUCGUGGGGGCCGUGUGGAGGACGGGGCUGGACAUGAAGGACGUGUGCCAAAGGGCCGUGGUGGAGAGGAUGGUGAGGGAGGCCAUGGAGUCCCCUGAGAUCCGGGCGUCGGCCCAGUCCAUGUCACGGCAGCUCAGGCUGGACGUCGCCCACGGGGGCUCGUCGUCGUCCGAGUUGGAGCGCCUCGUCGGCCUCAUCACCGAGCUCAGCCUCAGCGCCGUGAAAAUUCCAUCGCCUGCUCCCGCUCUCACUUGA
rnacentral:rRNA from 1 species